GACGAACGCUGGCGGCGUGCUUAACACAUGCAAGUCGAACGGAAAGGCCCUGCUUUUGUGGGGUGCUCGAGUGGCGAACGGGUGAGUAACACGUGAGUAACCUGCCCUUGACUUUGGGAUAACUUCAGGAAACUGGGGCUACUACCGGAUAGGAGCUCCUGCUGCAUGGUGGGGGUUGGACCGUUUCGGCGGUUGGGGAUGGACUCGCGGCUUAUCAGCUUGUUGGUGGGGUAGUGGCUUACCAAGGCUUUGACGGGUAGCCGGCCUGAGAGGGUGACCGGCCACAUUGGGACUGAGAUACGGCCCAGACUCCUACGGGAGGCAGCAGUGGGGAAUAUUGCACAAUGGGCGGAAGCCUGAGGCAGCAACGCCGCGUGCGGGAUGACGGCCUUCGGGUUGUAAACCGCUUUCGCCUGUGACGAAGCGUGAGUGACGGUAAUGGGUAAAGAAGCACCGGCUAACUACGUG
rnacentral:rRNA from 1 species